rnacentral:rRNA from 1 species
GUAGGGAAUAUUGGACAAUGGGGGCAACCCUGAUCCAGCGACGCCGCGUGAGUGAUGAAGGCCUUCGGGUCGUAAAGCUCUGUUGCAGGGGAAGAACACAAUGACGGUACCCUGCUAGAAAGGAUCGGCUAACUUCGUGCCAGCAGCCGCGGUAAGACGAGGGAUCCUAGCGUUGUUCGGAAUUAUUGGGCGUAAAGUGGGUGCAGGUGGCUUGGUAAGUCAGAUGUGAAAGCCUGGGGCUUAACCCCAGAAGUGCAUUUGAUACUGCUGAGCUUGAGUGCUGGAGAGGCUAUUAGAAUUCCUGGUGUAGUGGUGAAAUACGUAGAUAUCAGGAGGAAUACCGGAGGCGAAGGCGGAUAGCUGACCAGACACUGACACUCAGACCCGAGAGCGUGGGGAUCAAACAGGAUUAGAAACCCCUGUAGUCC